GAAGCUAGGACCCUCCCCACUUACCUCACCAGUAGCAGAUGUGGCAAAUAUGUGGACACUGGAAUCAUGGCAUCUGAUCUACAAAGAAUGUACAGCAUAGACUACGGUCGAAGAAAAAGAAAUGCUUUUAGGAUUCAGGUAGAAAAAGUAUUUAGCAUAAUUAAUAGUGAGAAGGAACUUAAGAAUCUAACAGAAUUAGAAGAUGAACAUCUGGCAAAAAGAGCAAGACAAGGUGAAGAGGAUAAUGAGUAUACUGAAAGCUAUUCGGAUGACGAUUCAAAUAUGGAAGAUUACCCAGAUCCACAGUUGGCAAAUCACAUGAACUCUUCCCUGCUCUCCUUAUAUCGGAAAGGAAACCCUGAUUCUGUUGCCACUACUCCCGAGAGGGAGCAAAGAGAAACCAGCGGUUCAGCACCACCAACAGCUUCCAAAACUGGCUCCAUUCCGUUGAAGACCCCUGCCAGAGGCUCUGAAGGAGGAUGGUUCAUUGACAAAACUCCAGGUGGAAAGAAAGACAGUUUUUUCUUGGACCUAUCAGAGGAGACAAGUAAUAAGAAGCCAUUAUCUGAGAUAGAGGAUUCCAAAGGGUCGUCUCUUCUGGAGAGUAACAAGAAAAGGAAAGGCAGGUUAAAGAGCAGAGGAAGCAAAAGGAAGAAAGAAGAUCUUCAGGAAGUAGAUGGAGAAAUAGAAGCCGUCCUGCAAAAGAAAGCUCAAGCCAGGGGCCUAGACUUCCAGACCUCCAGCGUGAAGUUUGAAGAUGUGGGAGGCAAUGACGUAACACUAAAGGAAGUCUGCAAGAUGCUCAUACACAUGCGUCACCCGGAGGUGUACCAGCACCUGGGCGUCACACCCCCCCGUGGAGUUCUCCUUCACGGACCGCCAGGCUGCGGGAAGACGUUACUUGCACAUGCAAUUGCUGGGGAACUUGACCUUCCAAUUCUCAAAGUAGCUGCUACAGAGAUUGUGUCUGGAGUAUCUGGAGAAUCUGAACAGAAGCUGAGAGAACUGUUUGAACAAGCUGUGUCAAAUGCUCCCUGUAUCCUUUUUAUUGAUGAAAUUGAUGCCAUUACCCCCAAAAGAGAAGUUGCUUCAAAAGAUAUGGAACGAAGAAUUGUAGCCCAGCUCCUAACCUGCAUGGAUGAUCUGAAUAAUGUGGCUGCUACAGCUCAGGUCCUAGUCAUUGGAGCUACUAACCGGCCAGACGCGUUAGACCCUGCUUUGAGACGCGCAGGAAGGUUCGACCAGGAAAUAUGCCUUGGUAUCCCCGAUGAAGCAUCCAGGGAAAGAAUACUUCAAACGCUGUGCAGAAAACUAAGACUUCCGGAAACGUUCCAUUUUCGUCACUUAGCACACCUCACGCCAGGCUUUGUUGGUGCAGAUCUGAUGGCACUCUGCCGGGAGGCAGCCAUGCGUGCAGUCAGCAGGGUCUUAAUGCGGCUGCAGGAUGCACAGAAGAAAGAGCCUGAGACAGAAGGUUUUCCACGUGAAGGAGGCCAGGGAGAAAGGAUGGGAACUGAGCCCACUUACACAACACAGGUGCUUUCUAGACAGGAUGAAUUGCAGAGUCUGCUGAGGUUGCUAAGAAACCAGGAUCCCCUCUCGGAGGAGCAGCUGCAAGGACUGUGCAUUGAGUUGAAUGACUUCAUUGUUGCUCUGUCCUCAGUCCAGCCCUCUGCCAAAAGGGAAGGCUUUGUCACGGUCCCCAACGUGACAUGGGCAGAUGUUGGUGCCCUGGAAGACAUUCGAGAGGAGCUCACCAUGGCAAUAUUGGCACCAGUACGUAACCCAGAUCAGUUCCAAGCUCUCGGAUUGGUGACUCCGGCCGGAGUCCUCCUCGCUGGUCCUCCCGGCUGUGGGAAAACGCUGCUGGCGAAGGCUGUUGCAAAUGAGUCUGGACUAAAUUUUAUAUCUGUCAAGGGCCCAGAAUUACUAAAUAUGUACGUCGGUGAAAGCGAGCGUGCUGUGCGGCAGGUUUUUCAACGAGCCAAGAACUCGGCGCCCUGUGUGAUCUUCUUUGAUGAAGUGGAUGCCUUAUGCCCUCGAAGAUCAGACCGAGAGACAGGGGCAAGCGUCCGAGUGGUGAAUCAGCUCCUCACAGAGAUGGAUGGUCUGGAAACGCGUCAGCAGGUUUUCAUCAUGGCAGCCACUAACAGGCCAGAUAUCAUUGACCCUGCGAUCCUGCGCCCUGGCCGCCUGGACAAAACCCUCUUCGUGGGCUUGCCGCCCCCCGCAGAUCGUCUCGCCAUCUUAAAAACCAUCACAAAAAAUGGCACCAAACCCCCACUGGACACAGAUGUCAACCUGGAAGCGAUUGCUGGUGACCAGCGCUGCGAUUGCUAUUCGGGCGCGGAUCUCUCUGCUUUGGUGCGGGAAGCUUCUGUCUGUGCCCUGAGACAGGAAAUGGCAAGACAGAACAGUGGACAUGAAAAAGGUGAACUCAAGAUUAGUCAGAAGCACUUUGAAGAAGCUUUCAAGAAAGUGAAAUCAUCUAUAUCAAAAAAGGACCGGCUGAUGUAUGAGGCUCUGAAGCAGUCCCUUGGCCAGUGACUUCCCAGCAGAGGCCAUGGAGGAGUCCAGUGCGCCGGCCUGGCGAGAAGCCCAGCGCUCCGAGCGGGCGCCUGCAGCUCCACAGAGGUGGCCUCACACAGGCAAACCUGCGCUCCCACGCUGCUGACCAGCUCGCUGUGCGCCUGGCUGCUGAGAGACUUUCCCAACGAGACAAGGAACAAGGCAUCACCUUGUUCGGACAAAGACCUUCCAGGGCUCCCACAGCGUCCAGUCCCUGGCAGUGAGUGGUGUGUGCCCUCAGGCUAAUUUCUGCAAAAUGCCUCCUUUCUUCAUGGAGGUGUCUCCCUCACCAGGCCAGCGUGGAUUACAGUGACAGUGUGCACAUACGUCCUGUCUACAAUGGCAGCUGUGCGCCCUCCACAGCUCCAGCCUCGUCGAGACUCUCCUGUCUUAGGCGUUGAUUCUUCAUUACUGAACUCCGAUUCCACGCAUAUCCCAGCACCAGAACAUCAGCUCCUGAAUUUGGGACGUUUUAUCUUUGUAUCCUCACUGCCUAAGGCGAUGCCUGACCAAGUGCCUGUAGAGUGAAUGAAUGAAUGAAUGAAUG